GAUGAGCGUGCCCGAGCGGUUGGGGAUUGGCUCGAAAUCCACUCGGCUCUGCCUGCACAGGUUCGAAUCCUCUCGCUGUCG
rnacentral:tRNA from 1 species